rnacentral:rRNA from 1 species
GACGAACGCUGGCGGCGUGCUUAACACAUGCAAGUCGAGCGGAAAGGCCCUUCGGGGUACUCGAGCGGCGAACGGGUGAGUAACACGUGAGUAAUCUGCCUCUAGCUCUGGGAUAGCUCCGGGAAACCGGGAUUAAUACCGGAUACGACCACUCAAGACAUCUUCUGUGGUGGAAAGAAUUUCGGCUAGAGAUGAGCUCGCGGCCUAUCAGCUUGUUGGUGGGGUAACGGCCACCAAGGCGACGACGGGUAGCCGGCCUGAGAGGGCGACCGGCCACACUGGGACUGAGACACGGCCCAGACUCCUACGGGAGGCAGCAGUGGGGAAUAUUGGACAAUGGGCGAAAGCCUGAUCCAGCAAUGCCGCGUGAGUGAUGAAGGCCUUAGGGUUGUAAGACUCUUUACCCGGGUAUGAUAAUGACAGUACCGGGAGAAUAAGCUCCGGCUAACUCCGUGCCAGCA